AUGGUAUAGAAACCCUAUAUUUAUAGGGAGGUGGUGACUUAGCCACCAAGUAGUAAACCCUAGAAUCUCGCUAAAUAUAGACAUUCACCUUAAAUAGAGUUCUAUUUAUAACACUCCCCCUUCAAUGUCUAUUCAACAAUGUGCCUCGUUAAAACCUUAAAACCAAAACCCAAUGGGAAAAAUUAAAGAGAAGGAAAAAGAGUACACAUGUU
rnacentral:lncRNA from 1 species